rnacentral:tRNA from 1 species
GCCUGGGUGGCUCAGUGGGUUAAGCAUCUGACUUUGACUCAGGUCAUGAUCUCACAGUUUGUGAGUUCGAUUCUUGCAUUGGGCU